CCACGGGAGGCAGCAGUGGGGAAUUUUGCACCAUGGGCGAAAGCCUGAUGCAGCAACGCCGCGUGAGCGAUGAAGGCCUUCGGGUCGUAAAGCUCUGUCCUCAAGGAAGACAAUGACGGUACGUGAGGAGGAAGCCCCGGCUAACUACGUGCCAGCAGCCGCGGUAAUACGUAGGGGGCUAGCGUUAUCCGGAAUUACUGGGCGUAAGGGGUGCGUAGGUGGUUUCUUAAGUCAGAGGUGAAAGGCUAAGGCUCAACCGUAGUAAGCCUUUGAAACUGGGGAACUUGAGUGCAGGAGGGGGGAGUGGAAUUCCGAGUGUAGCGGUGAAAUGCGUAGAUAUUAGGAGGAACACCAGUUGCGAAGGCGGCUCUCUGGACUGUAACUGACACUGAGGCACGAAAGCGUGGGGAGCGAACAGGAUUAGAUACCCCAGUAGUC
rnacentral:rRNA from 1 species